rnacentral:lncRNA from 1 species
GUUGCUUCAUAAUGGUGAAAUCUCUCAAAAUUAAAUGAGAGAAUUUCAAGUUUCCGGAGCAUAGAUUCAGCAUUUUAUAUCGCCAGUAUUAAACAGCUCCAUGUGUGUACAAUUGCAUCGGUGUUACCUGUCUCCUGGCACAUUUCCUCAAUUAUACGUUACGAAUCAAUUGAUUAUUAUUAGGUAUAUCUUGUAAGUGAUGGAUGUGAUGAUUAUUUCCCCAGAUGAUCGAAUCUGAAAUAACUGAGCGCUCAAUUUACGUUUCUCUUUUUGGAGAAAUUCAAGCCAGAAAUCUGAUCCAUCUUCAAAAAUGUGUUUUUUUAAUUAUAAUUAGUGUUUGAUUUUUGUUAUUUGUUUCGAUAAUCAGAGAGUGGAAAUGAUGAUUAUUUCCCCAGAUGAUCGAAGUUGAUUAUACUGUGCGCAUUUAUUUAUACUAUUCUCUAUUAUUAUAUCAUAGAGAAUCCAAGCCAGAAAUCUGAUCCUAUCUCUGUUUAUCUUCAUAAAAAUUCUAGUUCCUCUGAUGAUGAUUCAAAUAAAAACUUUCGUUCUUCCAAGGAUGGUAUCCCUCCAUCCAUGCGGAAACGAUUAUUGGAGACCUGACCUGAAGAGGC